AUAAAAGUAUAAAAGCCUGCGGUCGGCCGGUCGCCGUCAUUCCGCGUCAGAUCUUUCGUUAGUUAACAUCUCUUUACGUUUCUACAAGAUGGCCGACAAGAAAGCUGCUCAUGACUUCGUGGAACACCACGGAUCAGCUGUUGGCAAGGUACCAGGAGGCAACAAUGUCAUGGGACUCACUCCUCAGGGUCCAAGAAAGGAUGGCAUCGCUGCCAAAGCCCAGGCCUACGAGGGGGACAUCUCCAAAGACGGCAAAAUUGCCCACUUACAGAAAAACGCCAUGAAGAAAUGAGAUUCAACACUUGUUUCUGCAUCCAUGUCAACUGUACAGGACCACUUUACAUUUAAGAAUAGUAUGUUGCAAUGACAUUUUAAUAAAUACUUUUUCAUUGUU